AGGAAGUUGAAGUUGUAACAAGUGUUCUUGAUUCAAAAACAGAGUUUUGGGUGUCUGGGGAGUUAAAACGUGUGACAAAUAAAGUGUUCUCCCUCCUCCCAUGCCUUUUUUGGUUUCUCCCAUUGACGUGUUCCUACAGAGCAGAUGGCUUUACACAUAAAUCCUAUUAACAACUUUCUGCUGAUGGAGACACAGUGAGUACAGGGCUUUCUCACUCUUUCAUUAUCUCCACUGAGAAGCCUGCUUUUUUAUUUUCUAACCUUUAAAAAAGAAGUAGCAGUAGAGCUUAAGUCGGAGGCCACGCCAUGUCUGCAGAGAAGAAAACCUGUAGAAACCCAAAAAGAAGAAAGAGGAGGUAAACGGCAAAACAGAAGACAAGCUGAAUGGAAAAGAGGCCAAGCCCAAAAAAACAAAGACCAAGAAAAAUGAAGACGUGUCAGAAGAGGACAACCCUGCCAUCCAAAAUGGAAAAAAGGUGAAGAAAAAGAAACCAGAGAAAGAUAAAGAACAACCAGA